CCCUGCUUCACCAAAACUAGAGUUCAAAUCCACUCCUACUACACCAGUGACAGAGAGAUGGCAAAAGCCUAUGAGCACGUAUGGAUCAGUCCAUCUUGUCCCAAAUGGAAGAAGACCUUUGGGAAAGAGCUACUCCACAGGGGCAAAUGCAGACUUACUGCCUCCUUUGCCCCCCUCCUCCAGAGCUGCACAUGUUUCGCAACCACAACAUCACCACCACCA